GAUGAACGCUGGCGGCGUGCUUAACACAUGCAAGUCGAACGGUGAAGCCAAGCUUGCUUGGUGGAUCAGUGGCGAACGGGUGAGUAACACGUGAGCAACCUGCCCUGGACUCUGGGAUAAGCGCUGGAAACGGCGUCUAAUACUGGAUAUGAGACGUGAUCGCAUGGUCGUGUUUGGAAAGAUUUUUCGGUCUGGGAUGGGCUCGCGGCCUAUCAGCUUGUUGGUGAGGUAAUGGCUCACCAAGGCGUCGACGGGUAGCCGGCCUGAGAGGGUGACCGGCCACACUGGGACUGAGACACGGCCCAGACUCCUACGGGAGGCAGCAGUGGGGAAUAUUGCACAAUGGGCGAAAGCCUGAUGCAGCAACGCCGCGUGAGGGAUGACGGCCUUCGGGUUGUAAACCUCUUUUAGCAGGGAAGAAGCGAAAGUGACGGUACCUGCAGAAAAAGCGCCGGCUAACUACGUGCCAGCAGCCGCGGUAAUACGUAGGGCGCAAGCGUUAUCCGGAAUUAUUGGGCGUAAAGAGCUCGUAGGCGGUUUGUCGCGUCUGCUGUGAAAUCCCGAGGCUCAACCUCGGGCCUGCAGUGGGUACGGGCAGACUAGAGUGCGGUAGGGGAGAUUGGAAUUCCUGGUGUAGCGGUGGAAUGCGC
rnacentral:rRNA from 1 species